rnacentral:rRNA from 1 species
UUAAAGAGUUCUAUAACUCCCAAACCCAUGUGAACAUACCUAACGUUGCCUCGGCAGGUCGCACCUACCUUGUAGCACCCUACCCUGUAGGGCCUACCCGGGAGGUGCGGGUAAGCCUGCCGGCGGCCCACCAAACUCUGUUUGAUAUUGAAUUCUGAACCUAUAACUAAAUAAGUUAAAACUUUCAACAACGGAUCUCUUGGUUCUGGCAUCGAUGAAGAACGCAGCGAAAUGCGAUAAGUAAUGUGAAUUGCAGAAUUCAGUGAAUCAUCGAAUCUUUGAACGCAUAUUGCGCCCAUUAGUAUUCUAGUGGGCAGGACCGUUCGAGCGUCAUUUCAACCCUUAAGCCUUCGUUGCUUAGUGUUGGGAGCCUACGGCAACGUAGCUCCUCAAAGUUAGUGGCGGAGUUGGUUCACACUCUAGACGUAGUAAUUUUUUAUCUCGCCUAUUAGUUGGACUAAUCCCCUGCCGUAAAACCCCCAAUUUAUCAAGGUUGACCUCGAAUCGGUUCAGACAAACUCGCUAAAUUGAAGCAUCUUAGUCAGCGAAGGAAAAGAAACCAACAGGGAUUGCCCUAGUAACGGCGAGUGAAGCGGCAACAGCUCAAAUUUGA